rnacentral:pre_miRNA from 1 species
CCUACACCUAUGUGUAUAGGGCGCCAAAGGAUCACCAUUAAAUUUGGCACAGAUCUCUAGAAAAGUUAUCACAUGGGUAUGGGAUUUGACUUUUCUAGAUAUAUGAGCCAAAUUUAAUGGUGAUCCUUUGGGGUCCUACACACAUGAGUGUAGG